ACCAGUCUCCAGGAUUCUUGCCCUGACUUGGACAUUUGUGGGAUUUAUGGUUAAGGGAGAUCACUUGGCCAUAAAUCCCCGGUGAGGAAUGAUGAUGGUCCUCCCUCCCUACCCCCAAAAUUAAAGGCGCGAGAGCAGGACUCCCUGAAGGGAAACGGCCACCAUUUCUGCGAGGUCUGCGCAAACCUUACCAUGUAUGUGCCACCGUGAAACGCCGCUGUUUGGGGAUGUUGCUGCUGAGAAGCAUUCUGCGCAGAAGCCUGGGGGAAUUUCUCGGAGAGAUCACUGGAGAGAGCUUGGGAGAAACCGAUUUCCUCGCUGUCUUGGACUUCUCAUGCUGCAACAGGUUUUCUCGCAAGGAUUUCACAAGGUCUUCGUUCAGCCACGGGUUUGGACAAUGCGGAUUAUCCACUUCAGGUACUGUUAAAGUGUCCGGGCUUGUCUGCUGAGCCAUUUUCCUGGUCAACUUUGUACAGCUGGCAAGAAUCCAGGGCAACGUGGUUCCCUCGCUCACGGUCCCGGAAAUGUCCAGGGAAGCAGGUCUGAGCCUGCUGCUGUUAGUGCAUUCAGUCGCCUGCCUCAGUCUCUCUGUAGAGCCUGGGGCUGGGUGCAGAGGAGGCGAGCGCACUCCUCCGCGGAAGCGUAUUAAACGUCACCCCUCCUCUCCCAAGCCCCUGCCAAAGAUCACUGACAAGCUCGCAUAGCAAAUGAACAAGGAGGGAAAGCACCGCGCUCGCACGGCUUUGUCCGUGCUACAAAGCAGCCUGUUAAACUAUUGGAACUAAUGCGCCGCAGCUGCGCGAGUGACUUCUGCUGCUUAUGUACAUAAAAAGUCCUGGGGGGAGGGCUUAACCAUCAGAUGCCUGCUGCUGGGUUGUUUGGCUAGUCUUUCCAUUUGCUUAUUCCUGAAUCCAAAGGAAAGAAAAACUUUGAACUUGACCUUCCUCUCCCGCAGGGCUAUUUAUCUCCCUACAGUCCACGUUCAUAAAAGAAAAAUGCCAAUCCUUUGUUUUUUUCUCUCUUUUUUUUUUAAUAAGGGAAGAAUAAACAAGCACUAGCUACACAAGGAGAAAUACUUCCCUGCUUACUAAACUCAAUCUGAUGAACCACAUAAGACAAAUCCCAUG
rnacentral:lncRNA from 1 species